AGAGGCUGAAACGCAAGCCUGAUCCAGCAAUGCCGCGUGCAGGAAGAAGGCCUUCGGGUUGUAAACUGCUUUUGUACGGAACGAAACGGCUCUGGUUAAUACCCGGGGCUAAUGACGGUACCGUAAGAAUAAGCACCGGCUAACUACGUGCCAGCAGCCGCGGUAAUACGUAGGGUGCAAGCGUUAAUCGGAAUUACUGGGCGUAAAGCGUGCGCAGGCGGUUAUGUAAGACAGGCGUGAAAUCCCCGGGCUCAACCUGGGAAUUUCGCUUGUGACUGCAAAGCUGGAGUGCGGCAGAGGGGGAUGGAAUUCCGCGUGUAGCAGUGAAAUGCGUAGAUAUGCGGAGGAACACCGAUGGCGAAGGCAAUCCCCUGGGCCUGCACUGACGCUCAUGCACGAAAGCGUGGGGCGCAAACAGGAUUAGAUACCCUGGUAGUCCACGCCCUAAACGAUGUCAACUGGUUGUUGGGUCUCUUCUGACUCAGUAACGAAGCUAACGCGUGAAGUUGACCGCCUGGGGAGUACGGCCGCAAGGUUGAAACUCAAAGGAAUUGACGGGACGG
rnacentral:rRNA from 1 species